AUUUUCCUACCGUGGACUCUUCGGCAACCGUGGACCCUAUUGUUAUAGGUCCCAGAUUGAAGGCGUUUACACACUCAUUAAGACUGUUUUACCCCAUUUGUACACUGUUUUCUUGUCUAGGAAUGAACAGAAGGUUUGAAAAAAAUAGCGUGACAUGUUUUAUUUCGUCAUCAAAAGCAGUGAAAUAAGUCAAGUGUAUAAAACCAAUGGAAGAUGAGUUUCCACACUCCGUUUUUCUCCUUUAAUCUUGUUCUCAGUUGUGUGUACUAAAACACGCCCUUAUAAAGUCUUGAGUUUAUAGGCAUUGUCAAUGAGUAACAACACUUGUUACGUUGGCCAAUCGAUGUAGUCACCUGCCAUCUCAUCUUAUAGUGUCAGUUGAAGUCUGUCGCUACCUCAAAGCAAAACUUUAAAUGGGGGGGUGUUUUGCUGUGCUGUGUAGGACACUUCUCUACUUUGGAAACUUUUUUCUUCAGCUGUUUUGAUUAAAGGUCUUAUCAAAAUUUUAUGUAGGCCUAAAGGAAGUGGUUUUUUCUCUCGCUCUCUCUGGCAUGUUGACUUGUGAUGAGUGCAUUGAAACCGUGAGCACUUUUUUAAUCUGUGGAAAGUGUUGAUGUGACUCGUAAGUGAAAGUUUUAACAUGAUCUAAGGAAAUCAUGCCUUUUUUCAGAGGAAAGUUGUUCAAAAACGCAUUUGAUUAUGAUGUCCACGACCAAUGAUGUCCAAUCCAAAAAGAAAUAGCCGAAAGCGCAUGAACAUGCGUCCUUCACAGUGGCAAUAGAGGGCGGGCUAUAUGUGUCACGAGCACAGACUAGACGUGGACGUACCAAGACAGAAACGCUGAAUCAUAACAAACACAAAACGUGGACGGAAACUUCGAAAAGAUAAAUACAUCAAAGUGGUCAGCAUUGGGGAUGUGAUUCAAGACGAUUCCAACCAAUCACAAGUCUUCCAUAGCAUUGUUACCUCUCACCCUGCCUCCUCUUCAGCCCUUGUCCAUAUCCUCCCAGCAUCAUGGGUUUGGCCUCCUCCUUCAAGGGUUCCCCCUUGGUCCAGAUGGUCCUCUGUGUUACCUUCAUCAUCAGCGGUGUGCUGGUCAUUCUCAUGCAGUUAGCAGCAUUAGUUGUCAUCCGUCCAUUCAACAAGCGUCUCUAUCGGGUCAUUGUCUGUAACGUGGUGUACCUUCACUGGGGACAGCUAAUUUGGCUUUGUGACCAUUGGUCAGGAACAGAGGUUCGCAUCUUUGCCGACGAGGAGUUCCGGAAGAUUUGCGGAAAGGAGCACUGUGUUAUGAUUGCCAAUCACAGGAACGAUGUGGAUUGGCUAGCUAUCUGGGUGAUUGCUGAUAGAUUUGGUAUCUUGCAACAAGCCAAAUGCUUGAUGAAGAAUGAGCUGAAGUACGUCCCGUUGGUCGGUUGGUCAUUUGCAAUGCUUGAGAUGAUCUUUGUCAAGCGAGACUUUGCCCGGGACAAGGAGACGAUGAUUAACGGGUUCCGCAACUACAUUACCUAUCCCUUGAAAUGCAUGAUCUUGUUAUUCUGUGAAGGAACUCGCUUCACUCAAGAGAAGCAUACCAAGGGUUUAGCAUUUGCCAAAGAGAAAGGAUUGAAACAACUUAAGCAUCACCUCAUGCCUAGAACAAAAGGCUUUGUGGUUGCCAUGGAGGCAUUUGAUGGUCAAGUGCCUGCGGUAUACGACUUAACCUUUGGUGUCAGCCAAACUGAUUCCAAACCGACCUUAGUAAACCUGCUUAGAGGAAAGAAGUUUGUCUUCAAUUUUCAUGCUGUGAGGAUACCCAUUGCAGAUGUUCCCAAGACUGAAGAAGAACAAGUCAAGUUCAUUUAUAACCUCUAUGAGAAAAAGGAUGAGCUUUAUGAACAUUUUCUGGAGCAUGACACUUUCACUGGUUAUGACCACCGCUCAGGGUUUGUCAUGCCCAAGCGUUGGGGACCGUUGAUCGUGGAAGUGUUCUGGUUGUUGGUGCUUGGCCUUCCAACACUGUACCAACUGUUGAAAAUAUUGACAACAGGAUCGGCAGUUGCUACGGCAACAGCCCUGGGCAUUGUUGUGGUUUUGUACUUCUUAAUCAAGUACAUGAUAGGUGCCACUGUCACAGCAAAGGGGUCUGAGUAUGGUGGCAACAAACACCGAAACAAAAUCCAGAAUGGGAACAAUUCUACCUCCGAUGGGAAGAGUGACUGAAGACUGAGCUAAGAUAGCUGCGGAAUUCUAGAAUUGGUCCUUCUACCUGCAGUAGUUCUAGUGUUCAUCUGUAAAGGUCCUACAGCAUCCGUAGGACCUGUAAAGGUCUUACAGCGUCCGUAGGACCUAUAAAGGUCCUUCAGAUGCCCUACAACAUCCAUAGGAUCUGUAAAGGUCAGUUGAAUGCUAUUGUAAUGAGCACCACAUAAGUAGGUCAGUUUUAACAAGUAUCCCUUUUGCUCUCAUAUUAUGCACUCCUUUCGUUCCUAUAGCUUCCAUGAAGGAACUGCAGAUGUUGUGUAGACAGUAGACACAAGGCCCCUUUGUGUCUAAAUAGUUUGUGUGCACCUGUUGUAUAAUGUGCAUGUGAAUACUUUUCAACUGAAUGUACACAAAUUGUUUUCCUAGAAGAAAGCUGGGCAUGGAUACAGGACAGAAAUGGCACAGUGGUGUCAAUUGUAUUGGAAAUAUUAUUCAGUUUUACCUCACUUGGAUUGUACUUGUGUGUGGAAUGAAAACGCAGCAACCACGAUACUGACGAUUAUUGGUAGAGCCCUCAGUUCAUUAUGGUGGCAUUCCUUCCUACUGUCUAGUUAAAAGCCAUCCCAAGUUGUCAUUUCAAAUUUGAUUGAAAGGUUUUGAGUCGGUCUCACUGAUGGAUUCAUGUGGAAAUAAUAGAGAUACAACACAAGAGGGCAGUGUUCUGAUGAGGUCAAAGGUGACUAAACGAAUUUGCAGUUAAUAAAGUGUCAUUAGGGUAGGGCCUUAUGUUUGUUGUGAGAGGGGACAGAUGCUCCGUAAGUCAUGAACACUCUCUCUUUAGUCAUAAAUAUUGUAGAUCCUGCUAACCAGUAAGUUUUAAAAAGGAAGUGUAAACAAUAUGGCCGUGUCUGAGUAAGUUCACUGCAGCUUGGUGUUAUACACCAGUCUGUGGCUAUGGCUGCAGUCAGUUCCCAUAGAGUCGUGUAGUUUCAAGCCUUAGCCAAGUGAUUCAGUCACAGCCUAUUUACCCCAAGGCAAAAGGAGAAGCCAACUUGUUUCACAGAAUGGAAAGUUUUGUUUUGCACCAGACUAGUUUGAUAUUUGCCGUGCCAUAGCUGUGUGUAUGUAGAGUUUUCCGAUCAUUUUUAAGACUCGGAAUCUAUUCUGUGGGUCUUUUUAACCCCAGAUCCCACUUCCAUGUGCCUUCCGUUUUGGAGCUGAACUUGAAAAACAAUGCAGGUAUUGAGUUGCUGAUUUCAACAUUCUGUUUUUACCUUCAGUUGUCAAAGUUGUCAAAUGAGAGGUGAGAUGGGCAAGGUGAACUUUUUUUUAUAAGAUGAUGAGAGGUAUUUGACCCCUAGACUGAGGUCGAACCAUGCCUUUCUUGCAAGCAAAGAAAUUUUCACAGAUUAUUCUUUCUUUGUAAUGAAUUACAAAUGUUUCAUUCUUUGUAAUUAAUCGUAAACUCUUUCCCCAGCCACCGUUCCUUAAAACCCGACUCCAGCACUCUACUUUUUAGAGAGACAAUGAUGCUGAUUCCAUAAGAUUAGGUUAAUACAAAAAUGUAAAUGCUUUUAUGUUGAAGGCAGUGAUGUGAAUUUUGUGUUUUAUAUUCAAAUGGCAGCUGGUAAUUGAAGUGAGGAAAUUUGCCAUCCUUUUAUGAUGAUUUUAAUUCCAAUUUGCAAAUUUUAUGGAACCAAAGUACUCAAACUACAUAAUGUAUUAAAGAAGCGUAUCAAUAUGACAUAUGCAGUUUAGUUACAAUUGUGAAUACAUGUAUUUAUAUAAUAAAUGCUGCUAAUUUGCAUACUAUUAUAAUUUACUUUUAAGAUAAAUGUAUUAAUGAAAGGGAUUAUUUUGUGUGUUCAUUCAUACAUUAUUAAUUACUUCCCUCAAAGUUAUUUGUAUUUCAUAAAUGCUGCUGAUAUUGAACUAUGUACUGUAUGUAAUCCAGUGGUAUUAUGUUUGAUUAUGUUUGAUAAAUAAACAAAUCGCAGGAUUUAGUUAUUAAAGAUUUAUGAUGCUCCCCUUUUUGCUUUUAUACUUUGCAUUUUGGGAUGUAUAUAAUGCAAAAGGGUUUAAUGGUGUGCUUGACGAUGGAAAAGCUGUAGUCGUCUCGCGCAGAAUGUGACCAGCUGCCUAUGAAACUGCCCUCCUUGUUGGAAUUUUGCAAUUAACCUUUUUAUUUUUCUGAAGCCUAUUGCUAGGCCUAUUUGCUGCCCUCAAGUGGUUAUGCACAGAGUCGAUAAAGUGAACUUGUAGCACAGGUACUGACGGCACUCCUUGUAUUGCGGCGUACUUCAAAAUUUUACGUUAUCCCGAAAUCAUAUUUUGUAAUCCCAACCGUUCCUGUGAUGACAAUUGCUGAUUUUUUUUAAACAUCAGUUAAAUGUUAUGUUUUUAUUAGUAAACUUGUCCAUCGAUUUGUCUUCCAGAUCUGUUAUUAUGCCAAAUAAACUAACGUGUAUUGAGUACAAGUACCGUA